GCCGGUUUCCGAAACUUAAGAAAAUGUAGGUUUCGGGAGCUUUACUUGAUUUAUAAAACGAAGUCCAGUCCAGUAUUCCCGUCGAUAGGCCGGGAAUCACCAGAUUGAUGACGACGAGAAGAAGAUUGGGGAAGAAAUGCGCAAACUGUUUUUUAACAGAAGUUUGAAAAAUAAACUGAAUGAGAUUAAUUUCUAUUGAUUUAAAAUGUAAAUUUACAUAGUUUAUUUAUAAGGUUUUACUAUUUUAUUACAACCCAAAACUUAUUUAUAUAUUGCAACUAUGUCCUUCAAUAUAUCUAACUUGCUUAUUUCCUUUCUGGGCUGAUUCUGAAGUUUUGGGCUUGAUCCAUUAACCUGAAACAAAGUUAUUAGUAAUAUCAAUUAUAUAGAUUAUAACUAACACUUAGUUCAAUCAAGUUUUAAUUAAGGGUUAACUUGAUUUGAUUAUAACAAUAUGAUUUGAAAUUAAAUUUGAAUUCUAAUUUUUUUUAAGACAAUUUAGAUUAAAAUAAAAUAAAGAGAUUACAAUUAUCAAUCACUAACACAAGUGUUGGUACCAUGGACCGCGGACUGCGGCCCAUGGACCGAACAGGACCCGUCGGCGGCCCAGGCGACGGGACGAGCCCAACGCACGAGUCCACGACGGGCUCAAGGUCAGCAACAGAAAGCUAUAAAUACCUCCCCUGGUCCAACAGGGGAGGGGGUUGACAAAUUUAGAGAGAAAACUGAUACCAAGUGGUGGUUUUGAGAUAACUCCGGCGAACCCUCACACCAACAAUAAGAAAGCAAUUAAAUAAAUAACUAAAAGUAUACGAUAAGAUGUGUGAACUUGUUAAUCUUCAGCUUAUAAAUCAGUAACCAAUAACGAAGCUUUUUCCCAUCUUCUGAUAGUUGUGUCUUCCAAACUUAACUUGUGCGAUUUUUUAUAUAGACGGUGGUUAUAGAUAGUAACCAAAUCUCGUAUGAAAUCUCUUACGAUGACCUUAACCGACCGAGAGAGCCCCACCUUAUGUCGUAGAUUUCUCUCUCUUCAAAAAUGCCAUAUAUAUACUGUAAGUGCAUUCCAAUGUAAACCCCAGCAUGGUGCUGAUUUCCUGAAUUUGGAUAUCCCUUCAAUGAUAUCAUCCACCCUUAUGUCUCAUUAUUUUAUCGUUGUGAUACCCAUAGUCUUUCAUAAAGCAAAAUCUGUCAAUCGUGUGAAUUCAUUCCAAAGAGUCCAGCUGAAAUCGCAAUUAAAAAAUAGAUGGGAUGUCGUUUCCUCAGUUGCGUCGCAUAUGACACAUUUUGCCGGCACUACUACCUUCCAAUUUCUCUAUCUGUCGAAUGUUCUUAGAUUUCCCCAUCUCAAUCUCCAUAAGCAGAAGACCAUUUUAGAGGUACGACAUGUCCACACCCCAUCGGGCAGAGGGUCAGAGGUGGCUGUCGGUGAUAAUUUUGUUUUUAUAAGACCCGAUUUUAUGCUUCCACUGCCUAAGCGAUCCAACCCUUCAGAAGAUGAAAUUUAGGUGCACGCUCAGACAACGAAAUUAAAAGAGACCUGAAAUUGAUCAGAGCAGUUGAAGAAGAUAUAACUUUUAUAUAUAUUCUUCUUUUUUUGUGGUGUUGGCCGUUUC
rnacentral:lncRNA from 1 species